rnacentral:tRNA from 1 species
GCCAGGGUGGCGAAAUUGGUAGACGCGCACGCUUCAGGAGCGUGUGGUAGAAAUACCGUGCUGGUUCGAGUCCAGUCCUUGGCA